GGCUCCGUAGCUCAGCGGUAGAGCACCCGCCUUUUAAGCGGAGUGUCGAAGGUUCGAUCCCUUCCGGAGUCA
rnacentral:tRNA from 1 species